rnacentral:tRNA from 1 species
GGACCCGUAGCUCAGCGGUAGAGCAUCUGAUUCCAGCGCGUUGGAAACAGCAUCCAGAAGGUCAUCCGUUCAAAUCGGGUCGGGUUCA